rfam:Ovis aries breed Texel chromosome 2, whole genome shotgun sequence.
UCCUUGGUAGCUCAGAUGGUAAAGAAUCUGCCUGCGAUGUAGGAGACCCAGGUUCAAUCCCUGGGUCAGGAA